GUAUAUUGUCCAUUUAGUUGGUUGUAUCUUGUGCAUUCAUUUGGGUCUAUUUUAUACCUGUAUCAUAUUUUGUCUGAAUAACAUGAAAUCUGUUUAGAAUACCGGCUGUGAACUUGGGAAGUGAUGAUCCUUCCUCUCAAGGAGGCACAGAACAAAGUAGUGUAAACAAGCCUGCAGAGAGCAUGUUGAGUCCGGUUCAACAGUCAGCCAGUGAGCCGGCUGAUUCGAAUAUGAUGGUUGUGAGGGAACAGACACCGUCGGAUGCGCUUGUAAUAGUUCCGAUUCAAGUUUUUGUGCCAAUGUCCCAAACAACCACUGUGCCGGAACUUGAAGAAACACC